CAUUAAGUUUUUCUUCAAAAAAUAAUGAUUUAUUAUUAAAAGUGUUAAAUGUAUAUUGUAGACACAGUAUAGCCAUUUGAAAGCACUGAGCCCCAUAGAGACACACUGAGCCCCAUAGAGACCCACUGAGCCCCAUAGAGACCCCAUGCAGACCCCAUAGAGCCCCGCAGUGAGGCUAUAGGGGAACGCGGCGCCAUUUUGGGGCCAAAUCCGGGUUUUUUGAGGUUGUUUUAGUGGUUGGGUUGAUGGGUUAUGGGGCAGUUUAUGGGGGGGCAGGAAGGAACGUUUUGGGGGCAAAAAGAGGCGUCAAAUAUCGGCCCCGUUGGGUCUUUUGUUCUGUUUUGCUCCCCCAAGCCCCCCCGGAGCCCCCAGUUCACGCACAAAGCUCCUCACUCCCGUUCGGGCUCUACGUGCUACGUUCGUGUUCAUUCCCGCGGCAGCAAAACACAGACGCAGUUCCGCGCUUUGGCCACGCGGUGGCAGCAGAGGCCACGCAAUGAUCCCAGCCGGGCUGUGCCCGCCACCACCUCUCCGCCUGCUGAUUGGCUACGACCCAAUAGCGUCCCGCCCGGCCGUCCAAUGAGCUCGUCAGAAAGAACUCCCUUACUUCCGCUUUCCUCCCCUUCUUCCCCGUCCCUCUCUACCAUUGGCCAGGCGCCGGCGGAGCCCCGCCUCCUCGCCUCCCCUCCCGCUCUGAUUGGCCCAGCGGCGCUAUCCCCGCCCCUUCCGCCACGCUUGUUUCCGCUCCUCCUACACGGGGCGCUCAGUUUCGCCCCCGGCUGCGAGUCCGGCGAUGGCGGCGGAUCCGGUUCCGGUUUUUGGGCUCCCGCCGCCUCCGCCGCUCGGAGGAACGGCCACGGAGCGCGCCCUGCAGGAGGCGGCGGCCACGGGCACGCUCAGCUUAACGGGAAGGAGACUGCGCUGCUUCCCGGAGGCCGCGGCCCAACGCUGGGACCUGAGCGACACCACGGCGGCCGACCUGUCCCGGAACCGUUUUGCUGCUCUCCCCCCGGCCGUGUUGGGCCUCCCCUGCCUGGAGCUGCUCAGCCUGUCCCACAACAGCCUGCGUUCCGUGCCGGCCCACAUCGCCAACCUCAGCAACCUCACCUACCUCAACAUCAGGUGGGGAGGCUAAAAUCUGGGGGGCUCCUAGAGUGGGGGGGAGGACAUGAAGUGUGGGUACGUGGGGGUGCCUCAAAGUCGGGGGAGGGGGUCUCAAAGUGAGGUUGUCAGGGCGAGUGAAGUGAUGGGGGGAUCCCAGCAUGGGACGAGGGGGAAAUGUAUGGUUAGGAAGGGUUACUGAAGUGGGAUGGUCUCAAAAUGGGGGCAUCAGAAAGUGGGG
rnacentral:lncRNA from 1 species